rnacentral:lncRNA from 1 species
UGAUAUAAUGUGUGCCACAUCGGCUGGUGUGCAACUGAAGGGAGGAGGGAGCAGGCGUUCCUCUGCUGCUGAAGAGGGCUGUGGAAACUUAAGUCAUAGACAUGCUUCAGUGAGAGGAUGAGGAUUUGCCCAGAUGGGAAGCUUCAAGUGCAGAGGCACUUGUACAUCUACUUAUCUUGAGUCUCAAUGAUGCUGUUUAUGAGUGAGCUAUUCAAAUGGAGGAAGAAACCCACGGAGAAGGAGAAAUAACAGGUCGGAGUGAUUAUGUACAGAAGGAUAGGCUCUAGCAGGAGUCCAGUGGGAAAGAAGGAAGGGAAUACAAUUAAGAAUUAUUAAUGGCAGAUCUCUAAUGAUUUCACUGGAUCCAAAGGAACAGGGCAAUACUGAGUAAGAAACACUUGAUAUACGAAAAAAGCGUGAGUGCGAAGGAAAAUACAUCAUUCUACAGAUGUUGACGGACUCUGACGGUGGGAAAGCGUCCCUCAAGAUUGAAUUGGAGUAGAAGCUGACCCUCCCACUUGCCCAGAGAUCCCCUAGCUGGAUACGAUUUCAGCAAUAGAACACUUGAUCAUCACAGUGCUUGGCAUAUAGUUUCCUGAUCAAUUUCAUCACACAAGCUGGCAGCUAUGGGCAGUGAGGGAAGGAAGGGGCAAUCUCCUCACUAGACAGCCGUGCCAAGGUCACCCUGGUCCAUCCAUGAGGUAAGCCAUGUGACAGCCAAACCACUGCAGGACCCUAAAAGUCACUAUGUGACCUGGAGCCACAAACUCAAGGUGCUGGGGACACUCCAGAAAGGCAGAUGCUGAUCUCCUGCAAGAAGGGAUCUUCUUCCUCAGAGACACUGAGGAUGACCAUCAAUUUCCCUCACUUAACACCGCUUCUCGCAUAAGAUGCUGUACAGGGGACCUCACCAUUAGUUCAAAGUUUUAAUGUUUGUAACAUGUGUUUACCUCCAUUUCUGCCAAUGCUACCUGCUACCCCCCUUCCCCCACCACACACACCUAUUAUUUCAAAUUAUUUCUCCUUUCUUCCAGGAGAAAACAAAAAAAUCCAAAUGUGUCUUCAAACAUGGCCAGAAUGAGGUUUCAACACACAUGGGAACAAGAUAUAUUCAUGGAAUGUGCCUUUGAACCUGCAUUCAAAAGAACUCAGACAGAGGAGGAGAAUGGACCAGAUGACCUCUAUAGGUGUCUCUCCACAGGGUAAGUCCAAGUUCUAUAUUCUUGGUAAAGGUUUGCCUCUCUAGGCCUUAUAUGUGAAACAACAGACUUGUUUGAUGAGUUGUCUGCUCUCAGGGAGUUUACAAUCUAUUAGAAAAAUCAAACGCCCAGAGAGGUCAAGAUGUCUGCAAAGAGACACAGAGUGAUGCAAUGGAAAUCCUGUGUGGAGGUCUCCAGAAGGCUAAUUUCUGAAGCAGUGUUCUAUCCACAUGACCGUGCUGCUGCUCAUUAAGAUGGUACCUCUCAUUAAGAUAAAGCAUAAUCAUUAAAAAUCCUUUAGCUUGCUCACAUUAACUACCAUUGUGCGUCA